rnacentral:rRNA from 1 species
AUGCCGCACCGCCAUAUUACUCCCGGGGUUCCCCAUCCCUUAUGCUCGCUAUUUUCUUCUCUGCCUCCCAGAAUACUCAGUUUCCGCUGCCCUGCUCGCUCGCCGUUGCCGGUACUGCCGAGUCGCCCGCUCACCGUCGCCGAAACGAGGAAACUGCAACCCCUGUCGGCUUGUUCGCUCGCCGUGCCAGGAUUGCGUGGAGGCCGCUUACCCUGCCGGCGCGCCCGCUCGCCGUCUUCGACCGCUUCGAGGUCGAACCCCCCGCGGGCAAGCUCGGUCGGGAAUGUAGGAAAUACUUAUGUGUGGCUUGCAACAUUUUUACUACAUAGUUCCUGGAAUAUGUUUACCUCGAUAUGGAAUUUACUGAUGCACUUGAAUAUUGCUUGGAAUACAUGA